ACGAACGCUGGCGGCGCGCUUAACACAUGCAAGUCGAACGGAAAGGCCUGCUUUCCCUUGUGGAUUGCGGGUACUCGAGUGGCGAACGGGUGAGUAACACGUGAGUGAUCUGCCCCCAACUUGGGUAUAAGCCUGGGAAACUGGGUCUAAUUCCCGAUAGGACUGCAGGGUGGUGCCUGUGGUGGAAAACGAUUUUCUAGUGGUUGGGGAUGAGCUCGCGGCCUAUCAGCUUGUUGGUGGGGUAAUGGCCUACCAAGGCGGCGACGGGUAGCCGGCCUGAGAGGGUGGACGGCCACAUUGGGACUGAGAUACGGCCCAGACUCCUACGGGAGGCAGCAGUGGGGAAUAUUGCACAAUGGGCGGAAGCCUGAUGCUGCGACGCCGCGUGGGGGAUGACGGCCUUCGGGUUGUAAACUCCUUUCGACCGCGAGGAAGCCACCUGGUUGGAAGGGUGGUGACGGUAGUGGUAGAAGAAGCACCGGCUAACUACGUG
rnacentral:rRNA from 1 species